GUGAUGAAAUCACGUGAGAUCCCACACCAGACUUCAGAAAGAGGUGAGAGAGGAGAAAUCCAUGAUUCCUCAUCUGGACUGUACUUAUUUAACAACAGCAGCAGUUCAGCUUCUUCAGUUUCUUCACGAGGAUCACAAGCAAAUCAUAGUACGUGAACAUUUCUACAUAUAUCGAUAAAGCGGCCGGUAAAAAAAUUACUUGAAGAAAAUGAGCCGUAAUUUCUGCAACGGUGGAUUUUCCCACUCUACUAAAUUGAUAUCGUUGAUUUGUCUACUGCUUGUCCUCUCACAAUCGACAUCGAUCAUCGCCGCACCGUUCGACGAACAUGAGGUUGGCGCCGAGAUACCAAAAUUCACGGUGUCUAACGAUAAAGUCACUGAACUACACAAAUGUCCAAUUCUCGCCUGUAGAAUGAACUGCCCUUCGGGACUUGAAAUCGAUGAGAACGGCUGUAACAAAUGCAAGUGCAAGAGUCCCUGUCGCGACUUUAUUUGCCCGGAAGGUGAAAUAUGUGAUGAUUCAAUUACCGUGAAUUGUUUUCGGGCGCCAUGUCACCCGAUACCCAUCUGUAAGAAGAUCAAAUCAAUGAUGUAAUUUCUGUCUAAACGAAGUCCAAACAAGAAUACGGGAUCUGCUGUAAUCAUCCAAACAGAAAAUUUAUAGAAAUAUUUUACUAUACGAUUACAACAUUGCAAAAACGUAGCGAAAUAUUGUUGUAACGUUGCUACAACUUUGCAGCAAUGUUAAAAUGUCAAUCUUCAGAAAGAAUACAAUGAAACGUAACAAUUCAUUGCAUCACGUUGUUAUUGUACUGUCUGUACUAUAUAAUAUUUUUAUAUAGGAAUUUUUGUACUUAUGUUGAUUGAAAUAAAAAUUUUAGUACU